GGAGUUAGCCGGUGCUUCUUCUGCGAGUAACGUCACAGAUGUAAGGUAUUAACUUACACCCUUUCCUCCUCGCUGAAAGUGCUUUACAACCCGAAGGCCUUCUUCACACACGCGGCAUGGCUGCAUCAGGGUUUCCCCCAUUGUGCAAUAUUCCCCACUGCUGCCUCCCGUAGGAGUCUGGGCCGUGUCUCAGUCCCAGUGUGGCUGAUCAUCCCUCUCAGACCAGCUAGGGAUCGUCGCCUAGGUGAGCCUUUACCUCACCUACUAGCUAAUCCCACCUGGGCUUAUCCAUCAGCGCAAGGCCCGAAGGUCCCCUGCCUUUCCCCCGUAGGGCGUAUGCGGUAUUAGCAGUCGUUUCCAACUGUUACUCCCCACAAAUGGGCAAAUUCCCAGGCAUUACUCACCCGUCCGCCGCUCGUCAUCUUCAAAAGCAAGCUUUUAGAAAUGUUACCGCUCGACUUGCAUGUGUUAGGCCUGCCGCCAGCGUUCAAUCUGAGCCAGGAUCAAACUCUGA
rnacentral:rRNA from 1 species